rnacentral:misc_RNA from 1 species
AAAAAACAAGAAAAAGGAACCUCCCUUUAGUAUUUCAUGGUAUUUGAUCUCCAGAAUUGUCUCCGAAGAUGUGACCUCUACUUGCAAUGCUUCUUCAUGAACAUUGGUGUAAAUUUUCGAUGUAAAGUGACUGGAAGGAGACAGAAAGAAAUGGAUGAUGGAGGACACAAUAUUCUUAAAAAGAGGGUAAGGCACAGCUGUGUGUUCUGCUUUAUAUCAUUCUUUGAUGUAAAUAUAUCUGUGAAUAUGUAAAUAUGUUCAUCUAGUUU